CAGUGAUUGCUUUUCCACAGUAUUUCAGCAAAACCCUCCCACAUAUUCAGUUUUUGCUGGCUUCUUGUGCAUUGCAUUAUGAUGUUGACUGGAUGUAUGAUUUUCAAGACUUGCAACUGUCCCUCUGUUUGCUUGUAGUAGCACCCAAACAGUAUGUCUUGUAAUGGCACAUCCAUUCAAAUACUCUUCUCUUUUGUAUGAAGUUUUCUUUGCUUUCAGAAUAUGAAAUGAGUUCUGUCUACUCUGUCAGCCAAAGGUUUGCUUCAUUGGGCUCUGAGAUAAUAGUAGAUCCAACAGCAUGCUACUAUUAA
rnacentral:lncRNA from 1 species